ensembl:lncRNA
GGGUGAAAAGCUGUUAAAGGAAAACAUCAAUAUCAAUUGAUCCCAAACACAUUUAGCCUGGAAAAUGGAAGAAAGCUUCCAGGCAUCAGCAGAACCUAAGCUCUGAAGCUGCCUUUCAGGAGAGAGCAGUGUGGAUACAGAAGAGACCUGUGUGAUUCUUCCGGGGUCUACAAAAAUGUUUACAUCUUGGUUCCCUACUAAAGCAGAAAUCACUGGUGGGUCAUGCAAGAAAAUCCCUUCACCUUCCACUUUCUGUUCCAAAUAAUCCUUAAAGAACACGUGUGUGACCUGAAUAAAAGUGCACAGGGAGGUGACCAAGGCAUUGCAGGUUAAAUAGCACAUUUUCUUUAUUUUCACUGCAAGGUAGAACAUGGUAAAGUUCAAGAGUUAAUUUACUAUUUAAAGUAAUUAAAUAGUAGGAAACUCAGUACAUGUAGAUUACAUCAUGAGUAUAAUGAGUGAACUCUACAGCUAUUGCAGAUUUAGGAAAUUACUUAAAUGUUUCUACCUUGAGGUGGCUUUUUAAAGGAAUUACUGACAUGGAUUAUAGCUUUGUGUGCUAAAAAAAACCCAAGUUAUUAAUCAGGUAAUAUCAAUAUUUAACUAUGAUAUAUCUCUGAAACUACCCUGGCUUGAAAUGUAUCUGUCAUCCCAAGUUCUCCCCACACAAUAUUUGUAGAAGUUUCUGCAGUUCUCCAAGAUUUCUAAAUUAAAUAGCAUUUUGAAACACACAUUUAAAAGUGAACCAUUCAGACAGGUUCAUAACAUCUUUUUGCUUUUUUAAGGGAAAAAACACAGAUGAAUCAUUUACAAAUCAGUUUAUUCCAGUGGAAUACCAUUUUACUGAACACUUGCUAACUGACUCUGUUUAUAUCAGUGAACAACUCACGUUCCUCAAAUAGUUCUUCCUUUUUUUUUAUUGUCUGGACCAUCUGCUGUGCUGUGAGCAGCUACUAUUUUGAGCCUUUUCUCUUUAAGUACAACUUUCAGAUUAAAUAAAGCUUUUGUAAAAGCUGAAAUUAUUGCCAAAGCAUGUUCAGCAGUGUUGAUGUGCUUUUGUGGUGGUUUUGUUUUUGUUUUUUUUAAAGCCUUUUAAAAAAUUUCAGGCAGUAAUGGUAACACAUCCCCUCUAAUGAUAACAGCAUGAAGAGCAGGAUGAUGUAAUGCUCAACUUGCUCUGAGGAUUCAUUGCAGUAAGCUGGUUACAAAUCUUUUGUUGAAAAAAAAUCCACAAUUGAUAGCUGAAAAUAAUAAAGCAAAACUUGAAACUAAUAAAGCAAAACUUCAAAAAGAGUUGUGAAAACCUCUCAAGGAGUCCAAUUAUUUGUGGCAUCAUUAACAUAACAAAGAAAAAGCAGAGACAUUAAGGUUGGCACAGCAAUCAUUGGUUGCAUUCAUGAUGGCACUGGGGCAUUUGAGGCCUCCUGGCCUUCCCCACACCAAGGAAAUUGUCUGUCAUGGAGAUCUUUGAUGGAUGAUGGUGGACACAGCACCUCUGCUGUCAGGAAAGGCUGAGAGAAUUGUGAUUGUUCAGCCUGGCGAAGAGAAGCUUCGGGGUGACCUCAGGGUGGCCUUGCAGUGCCUGAAGGGAGCAACAAGAAAGAAGGAGUGUCUUGGUUUAAAAAGCCAGGUGUCUGCUGAGGAAGGCAGGAGCCUCCCCUGAAAUGGAAAAUAUAAAUCCCCUCCCUCCACUUUAUUGUAAUUUUGAAAUUAAGGGGCUCUCAGGCAAAGAUAUGGGAGUAGGAAUAACAGUUGUUUAUUAGGGAAUAAAAUGAAAAUAAAAAUGCAGUAAUACAGAACAUCACUGCCAGAGUCAGAACAUGCCCUGUCCCCCUGUGGGUCAGGGUGGUGGCAGCAGUCCCAUCCCAGGGUGGCUCAGCCCUCCUGCAGUGCCAGCUGUGCUUCUGCUGGAGCAGGAUCCUGCACAAGGGGGGAGUUUUCCUCUGGAGCUCCAGGGCUGGGGGAGAUGGGCCUGGGCCCCUCUGGGAAUGCAUGGGAAGAAAGCUGCUCCUCUGGGAAUGCAGUGGGAAGAAAGCUGCUCCUCCGGGAAUGCAGUGGGCAAAGGUCAGAUUGUAUCCAGGUAGGAAUGUUUGGCUCCUCCCCUGGGUAGAGCAUCUCCCCAUGGGAUGAUGGAAUUUUCUCAGCCAUGCAGGGACACUCUCUGGCCAUGAACAGAAGAUAAUUAAUAAUUAAUGGCCCAUGGACAGAAGAGAUCUUCUGGAGGGAGGAUUGGCUAUGGGAGAGAUAAAGAAAAAGCUGCCCAAUGAACAGCAGAGAACUGCCCCACCUCUGACAGAUAGGAAUAGAAUACACAUCCCCAUUUCCAACCUAAGGCACGGAGAGAGAAUAUUGACAUUUUAUACGUGCAGUGACAUUGAUCACAACAGGUCCAUUUAGGCAAAAGAGGGAAUAUAUUGAAAGGAAAGAGUGAGUUCAAUCCUGUAAUAUGAGUGAGUUGAAUUUCAGGGUUAAUGUUUUAUUUUAGUUCAAAACUAUAAGCAAGUAACUGGGUUCAGCUGUGAUAAAAUGUUGGCAUUGCCUAAUUCCCACUCUGGUAACCAGACAAUUUUUCCUUAUUUCAAACCCAUUUGACUGAACUGUAAUUGUUCCAGUAAUGCCAGUGACUCUUGAGAACUGACAUUUAAGGUCCCUUCUAUACUUAUUUUAGCUUAUAACUUGCUGUAGCAUAAUCUCCAAAUUUUACUUUUCAGAUUUUUUCCCUAAUUCAAGUGUAGGACUCUUGAUUUUUGCUGUUCCUAGUUGUUUAUUCUGUCUGUAGGGUGCUUCCAUUUGAGGAUAAGAGCAGAACCUUUGCUCUUCCCCUCUCCUUUGCACUUUUGAGUUGUACCCAGAGGCAAAGAGGGAAAACCUGCAGAAAAAAUCACUGAUGUGGAUUGUGUUUGGACUUGAUGAUCUUGAAAGCCUUUCCAACCUUAAUGAUCCCAUGAUCUCAUAGUGCAACUGAAGCAGUGUGGAGGCUUUGGUAUAACUGUUGUGACAGCAUUUAUUUUCUGAGAGGAUACAUCUGGAUACAAAUUUGAAAGUCAAAUAUUUGCUUUUCAUUUUUAGCUAAUAUUCUGUGAUAAGGAUGCCAUGGCACAAGCAGUAGUUCUGAGCAUGAAACUGAGGAAAACGUACUCAUUUUCCUUCUCACCCUUGGAAAUGCAGCACUUGUAAGCAGAAGAAAUGCUCACUUUAAAUCACACUUAUGGUUAAUGCCCAACCCAGGGGUAAAAUGAUGUCAGCAGAAUUGUUUUAAUGAAAAGUGUUCUUUUUUCUCUGUGAGGAUUUUAUUUUAUUACAGGUUCCCUUCAGAUUUCUUCAGUAUGUGUGUGUUGAUUGUCUUCUAUUUGAUGCAUUAAUCUAAAACUCAGAGAAAUACUGCCUGUAAAUCGAGUAUAUCAAGCAGUUCUUCCCUUGCUUGAAAACUCGAAGAUUAAAACUGUGAAUUACCUAAAUAAUAUAAACUAAUGCUUCUUUUAGCUGUCUAUGGGCUCUGAAACACAGUGUUAAUUUAUCCCUCACUACUUGAAAACUUAAUGCAUUGUAUCUUGGUUUAUUUGCCCCAUUUGUGAAAUUGUCUUCGAAUGUUUUGCAAAUAAAAUGCUCUGUCAUUGCAAUUUCAGUAUCUUAGGCAUGCACAGAAACUUAAUGGAAUUUUAUCUAUUUUCUUGAUUUAUAAGCCAGAAAAAACAAAACAAAACCACAAACAAGUUGGCAAAAUAUACCAACCAACGUGCUACUCAGUAAGUCUAUUUUUAACAUGCAAGUAGGUUAAACUACUUUAGUAUUUGUCACUAACAUGGUGGAAAUUAGUGCAUGAAAUUCACUGGGUGUGGGGUUUUUUGGAGUACCUAAGCUCUGUUAGUGCUGUUCCCUUGCUACUCACCUGUGAAACUGUUGUUGUCACUUUUGUCCCACCUGAACGUAGCAAUGCCCCUUUAUUUCUUCCCAAAGCCUGCAUCUCUUAGCACUUGAUCUGCUUCAAACCCUCAGCAGGUGUGGUGCUUGUCAGGGUGUGAGGAGGGAGCUGGGGAAGGAAAUCAACACUUGUGCUCUAAGUGGAGCUGUUGGGUUUCUCCAUGGCUCAUAAACACUCGUGUUUCCAGACCUACACUCCCUGCGAACCAUGAAACCUCAGCAAAAGCCGAGCCUGGCCAGAGCACAGCCACAAGCUCUCCUCGUUUUGGCUGAAGCUGUUGGGCCCAAAUUGAAGGGAUUAACUCCUCAUCCAACAGCUUUGCAUUUUGGGACAGUCACUGACUUCUUGAUUUUUGCAUCAGUUCCAGCUGCUGUAGUUUUCUCAAAUGCUUCAGUGUUUAAUUUUAAAGAUGCCCUGGCAGAGGAAGCACUUCUUCCAGAUGACAACUUGAAAAUCAUGAUGAUUUUAUUGGUGUUGUUAAUGCUAGCUAUAGUGUAAAAUACUGAUAAUUAUUGCUGGGUUCUGGCAAUUUAUGUCCUGUCCCAUCUAUGUGCAUCACACUUUAGCAAGCAGUUAAGAUCUCAAAACACAUUAUUAGGUAUUCUCUAUGCAUGGUUUUGACUGUGAGAGAAAUGGGGUAGAGAUGGAUGCUGGGGCUGUACAGCAGAAAGAGGGAGCCCUUCAUAUUCUCCUUUUCUCAUGUGAUCUGUGAGUUUUCAGUUUUCCUUUCUGUUUGGCUUUUGGUUUUGAGAGCUAAUAAACAGAUGAUAGCGAAGUAAAUAGCAGUGAGUGGAUCUUGACAGCUUUAUUAUGGCUAUUAUGUUACGGUACAUUAAAUUUUUAAUGAAAUAAAAUAUGGCAGAUUGCCAAAUUAUGUGAUGAUAAUUUCAGGAAGCUGUAAACAGGUUACUCAGUAGUUCAUAAUUGCCACAGGUAAUUUAACAUUCAGGAAAUUUCCACCCACUGAUAGUAAUUAAGAUUGUGUUUUGGCUAUGUGCAUUGAUUAUGAGUAUCUGAUCAUGAGAAUCUCUCUUUUUUUUCCUUUCAUGUGGUAUUUCACUCUUAGAAUUUUACCUGCUGGCAGCAAAUAUUCCCUUUUUAUUUCAUGUCCUGGAAUGCAUCAGUGGAAAAUAAUGCAACAAUAUGUAAUCUGCCUGUGAAUAACCUCACUGCUGGACUCCCAGUGUCAGAGAAACUCAGCUUCUGCCUGCAAUGAAAAUUUCCUUUAUGGGGCUGCCUGGUGGAAAGGACACCUUUCAGCUCGAGUUGGGCCAACACAAAGCCCUCAGUGUUUCUAAAUGUUGCAUUAAGGCUGUGUGGGAGAAAAUCACGCUGCAGGUGUGUGAGGAUGGUGUCAAAAUAACCAUAAAAUGCAGGAAUUUCCCUCCUGCCGUGGGGUCUGUGUGAGAGCUGGCUGCAAGAGACUGGCAGCAAGGUGGAAUGAUCCAGGGAGAACAUCCCCAAGGAUGCUCUGAGGUUUCUGGUAGCAGGGAAACUGAGGCAGAAUUCACAGAAUCACUGGGUUGGAAGAGACCUUAAAGAUCGAGUCCAACCCAGCCCCAGCUCCUCAACUCAGCCCUGGCACCCAGUGCCACAUCCAGGCUUUGUUAAACACACCCAGGGAUGGUGACUCCACCACCUCACCGGGCAGCCAUUCCAGAACUUUAUCACCAUUUCUGUAAAAACUUUUCCCUGAUAUCCAACGUGUAUUUCCCUUGGCUCAGCUCGAGGCUGUGAGCUCUGGUUCUGUCAGUGCUGCCUGGAGAAAGAGCCCAGCCCCAGCUGGGCACAGGCACCUUUCAGGAGCUGUGGGGAAUGACAAGGUCACCCCUGAGCCUCCUUUUCUCCAGGCUGGGCACCCCCAGCUCCCUCAGUGCUUCCUCAUAGGCAGGCUGGAGGAUGAGGAAUCAGCCCCAGAUGGAGCCCCAGGAAUCCCAGCAUCAUUAGAAUUCGGGGAUCCUGCCUGAGCCAGCUGGGGAAGGGGUAACUGGGUUAUCCCAGCAGAGCAUCCUCUGCCUCCCAGCCUUGUGCCACUCGCUGGAGUCGGAGCAGGAACGGCGCUGCCACGUUGCCACGGCAACGGCAGGGACCUGUCAACACCUCUCUCCCUAAUAGUGACAAAUGGUACUUAUUACAUCAGCACUAAUUUCAUCUGAUCCCUUUCAGAUGAAGAUACUUAGUUCUUGCUGAUCAAAUUGUGUCGCUGUAAUUACUGAGAACAGACCUUAUUAAAUGACAGCGCUCCUUACUCAUUGCCUCAUCUCAUGGCCGAGCUUAUCGCUUUCCCUCUUUCCCAACUUUUGGUGAUGCUCCUGGCUGCCCCCGGGGCACAUUCCCUAUCCCAAGGCAGUGGUGUUUUGCUUCGUUCAGGGAUAGUUUAUGUCAUGGGGAGGAUGCUGCAUCUGGUGUCCUUAUUUUAAAAGAUGACAAAGAAUUUGAGACCUUCAGAGCAUGUGAAGCAAAGCUGUUAAAUCUGUGUGGAACUGCACAGCCCUUGCCACCAAA